AGACCACCGAAGAGGCAACAUGUAAGCUGUCACACUGAGAAAGGUUUUCACAGGGAAAGGACAAGAAGAUAAGGGGUGUGGGAAGAAGAUACUACACCUUCGGCCACCAGAAGAAAGGCAGCUUUGUAAAUCAGAGUGAAGACUGAGGCUGGAGAUGCCCGGAGGAGCAGUGCCUUUCAGCACUUCAGCAGAAGCCUAACUGCAGCGACUUCUGACCGCAGGGCUGUAACAGGAUGUAUAACCAGAAGGGAUUGUUGGGGUGUAUGGUAAUUCCUUGUUAAGUUGCUAAGCAACUGUCUGCUUUCAAAUGUGGCUUGACUUUUUCUUCCCCACCAUAACGCACGAGGAUUCUGCUCUCACUAGACCCUCGCUUGCACCUGUUAUUCUGUUUCCAUGGCUGCAGCUCUUCUGAGGGCAACGUGCAUGCCCUUCCUCAUGACUAAAGAUGUGGAGCACAUUUUCAGGUUACUAUUGCUAUGAUGACCAAAAGCAAGUUGGCUUGUGUGUCUCAAAUCCCAGACUCUUGAGGGAAGCCAAGAUAGGACCUCAAACAAGACAACAAGACAGAAACCUGGAGGCCAGAGCUGAUGCAGAGACCCUGGGGAGGUGCUGCUUACUGUCUGGCUUUCCAGGGCUUGCUCAGCCCACAUUCUUAAAGAACCCAGGACCACAGACCCAGGGAUGGCACCACCCAUAAUGUGCUGGGCCCUCCUACAGUAGAUGUUCUACAUCAUUUGUGUGUUAGUCACCCUGAAGACCUCUGAGAGUUAAAUUGCUAAUUCCUUAGUCCUUAUUUGAAUUGCAAAGUGCUGAGUCUACACUGUCAUGUAAACACUGCAAAGAGCCUCUAUCUGACCUAUAGGAUGCCUGUCCUCGGUGUAUGACACAGCCUCACAUGAUGUUGGGAUGUGCAGAAGUUAAAACAUAGGUUUUAAAAAAAUUAUUAAGCUAUUGAAAUAAUACAACAUAAACGUCUCUCUUCCUUCUUUCCAACUUCUCUUUUCCAUUGUUUUAUCUUUUUUAACCCCAGUUCAGCAACCCACUUUUUUCAAAUGGCUUUUCUGAGGGGAGACACAAUAUCUCAGUUCCUGUUUUUUUCCUUCCUUUUUUUAGAACAUAUAGCAGAAAUGCUUCCUAAUGCUAAUAAUACUCAUGGUUGUUACAUUCUUGAGAAAUUUACUCUAAUGAAUCAAGCAAUGUAUUUUUAGAACAUUUUUUGUUUCCAGGAAGAAUGAGUACACAGGUCAGUUUCAAUUGCCCCCACUAUGUGUAGACCAUUGUGAAGUGAAAAUUUAAUUUCUGUAUGUUG